rnacentral:lncRNA from 1 species
GUCCUAAGAUGGGGCAGGACUUCAGUGAAUUUACAGUGGGUCAAUGUCUUGUCCUCAGAAACACAAACAGCAGAAUGGCUCCAUCUCUGUUGAAGACUUCCAUCAACUAGAACCACGAGGGCUGAUGGACAGACCACAAGGCCAGUUUGUUCCAGUUCAAUGAUUAAAAGAACCACAGAUGACCAGGCACGGUGGCUCACGCCUGUAAUCCCAGCACUUUGGGAGCCCGAGAGACGGAGUUUCACCAUGUUAGCCAGGAUGGUCUCGAUCUCCUGACCUCGUGAUCCGUCCGCCUUGGCCUCCCAAAGUGCUGGGAUUACAGACGUGAGCCACCGCGCCCGGCCAAAACCCUGCUUUUAAUAAAGUGUGAAAUGG